rnacentral:rRNA from 1 species
UACGUAGGGCGCAAGCGUUGUCCGGAAUUAUUGGGCGUAAAGAGCUCGUAGGCGGCUUGUCACGUCGAUUGUGAAAGCCCGAGGCUUAACUUCGGGUCUGCAGUCGAUACGGGCUAGCUAGAGUGUGGUAGGGGAGAUCGGAAUUCCUGGUGUAGCGGUGAAAUGCGCAGAUAUCAGGAGGAACACCGGUGGCGAAGGCGGAUCUCUGGGCCAUUACUGACGCUGAGGAGCGAAAGCGUGGGGAGCGAACAGG